GUACCUUUCUCGGCCUUUUGGCUAAGAUCAAGUGUAGUAUUUGUUCUUAUCAGUUUAAUAUCUGAUAUGUGGGCCAUGUGUCCACAACGAUAUUAAAUUUAUUUUUUAUGGGGGAGGGUCCAUCACAAUGGCUUGUCGUUGGGCCCUUAGCUGUCGCUUGGGCGUUGCACUACAGCCCAGGCAGGUGCACCCCAA